AGAGUUUGAUCCUGGCUCAGGAUGAACGCUGGCGGUCUGCUUAACACAUGCAAGUCGAACGGAGUGCUUCGGCACUUAGUGGCGGACGGGUGAGUAACGCGUGAGAAUCUGCCUUCAGGUUGGGGACAACAGUUGGAAACGACUGCUAAUACCCAAUGUGCCGAGAGGUGAAAGCUUUAGUGCCUGAGGAUGAGCUCGCGUCUGAUUAGCUAGUUGGAGUGGUAACGGCACACCAAGGCGACGAUCAGUAGCUGGUCUGAGAGGAUGAUCAGCCACACUGGGACUGAGACACGGCCCAGACUCCUACGGGAGGCAGCAGUGGGGAAUUUUCCGCAAUGGGCGCAAGCCUGACGGAGCAAGACCGCGUGAGGGAGGAAGGCUCUUGGGUUGUAAACCUCUUUUAUCAGGGAAGAAGAUCUGACGGUACCUGAUGAAUCAGCAUCGGCUAACUCCGUGCCAGCAGCCGCGGUAAUACGGAGGAUGCAAGCGUUAUCCGGAUUUAUUGGGCGUAAAGCGUCCGCAGGUGGUUUUACAAGUCUGCUGUUAAAGCGCGAGGCUUAACCUCGUACAGGCAGUGGAAACUGUGAGACUAGAGUAUGGUAGGGGUAGCGGAAAUUCCCAGUGUAGCGGUGAAAUGCGUAGAUAUUGGGAAGAACACCAGCGGCGAAAGCGCGCUACUGGGCCAUUACUGACACUCAUGGACGAAAGCUAGGGGAGCGAAAGGGAUUAGAUACCCCUGUAGUCCUAGCUGUAAACGAUGGAUACUAGGUGUUGCCCGUAUCGACCCGGGCAGUGCCGUAGCUAACGCGUUAAGUAUCCCGCCUGGGGAGUAUGCACGCAAGUGUGAAACUCAAAGGAAUUGACGGGGGCCCGCACAAGCGGUGGAGUAUGUGGUUUAAUUCGAUGCAACGCGAAGAACCUUACCAGGGCUUGACAUGUCGCGAAUCCCGGUGAAAGUCGGGAGUGCCUUCGGGAGCGCGAACACAGGUGGUGCAUGGCUGUCGUCAGCUCGUGUCGUGAGAUGUUGGGUUAAGUCCCGCAACGAGCGCAACCCUCGUUUUUAGUUGCCAGCAUUUAGUUGGGCACUCUAGAGAGACUGCCGGUGACAAACCGGAGGAAGGUGGGGAUGACGUCAAGUCAGCAUGCCCCUUACGUCCUGGGCUACACACGUACUACAAUGCUACGGACAAAGGGUUGCGAGCUAGCGAUAGCAAGCUAAUCCCAUAAACCGUGGCUCAGUUCAGAUUGCAGGCUGCAACUCGCCUGCAUGAAGGAGGAAUCGCUAGUAAUCCCAGGUCAGCAUACUGGGGUGAAUACGUUCCCGGGCCUUGUACACACCGCCCGUCACACCAUGGGAGUUGGCCACGCCCGAAGUCGUUACUCCAACCGCUUGCGGAGGAGGAUGCCGAAAGCAGGGCUGAUGACUGGGGUGAAGUCGUAACAAGGUAGCCGUACCGGAAGGUGUGGCUGGAUCACCUCCU
rnacentral:rRNA from 2 species